rnacentral:rRNA from 1 species
CUUUUCUCGUUAGUUUUUGAAGUAUGGCCUGCCCACUGACUUUGAUGUUGAAGGGCCGCGGUAUUUUGACCGUGCAAAGGUAGCAUAGUCAUUAGUUCUUUAAUUGUGAUCUGGUAUGAAUGGCUUGACGAGGCAUGGGCUGUCUUAAUUUUGAAUUGUUUAUUGAAUUUGGUCUUUGAGUUAAAAUUCUUAGAUGUUUUUAUGGGACGAGAAGACCCUAUAGAGUUUAACAUUUAUUAUGGUCCUUUUCUGUUUGUGAGGGUUGACUAGGCCGUUUAGUAUGUUUUGUUGGGGUGAUGGGAGGGAUUUAUUUAACCCCUCCUUUAGGUUGUUAUAUUUAUUUAUAUUUACUUGAUCCAUUAAUUUUGAUUGUAAGAUUAAAUUUCC